rnacentral:rRNA from 1 species
AAUACAUGCAAGUCGAGCGGACCGACGGGAGCUUGCUCCCUUAGGUCAGCGGCGGACGGGUGAGUAACACGUGGGUAACCUGCCUGUAAGACUGGGAUAACUCCGGGAAACCGGGGCUAAUACCGGAUGCUUGAUUGAACCGCAUGGUUCAAUCAUAAAAGGUGGCUUUUAGCUACCACUUGCAGAUGGACCCGCGGCGCAUUAGCUAGUUGGUGAGGUAACGGCUCACCAAGGCGACGAUGCGUAGCCGACCUGAGAGGGUGAUCGGCCACACUGGGACUGAGACACGGCCCAGACUCCUACGGGAGGCAGCAGUAGGGAAUCUUCCGCAAUGGACGAAAGUCUGACGGAGCAACGCCGCGUGAGUGAUGAAGGUUUUCGGAUCGUAAAACUCUGUUGUUAGGGAAGAACAAGUACCGUUCGAAUAGGGCGGUACCUUGACGGUACCUAACCAGAAAGCCACGGCUAACUACGUGCCAGCAGCCGCGGUAAUACGUAGGUGGCAAGCGUUGUCCGGAAUUAUUGGGCGUAAAGCGCGCGCAGGCGGUUUCUUAAGUCUGAUGUGAAAGCCCCCGGCUCAACCGGGGAGGGUCAUUGGAAACUGGGGAACUUGAGUGCAGAAGAGGAGAGUGGAAUUCCACGUGUAGCGGUGAAAUGCGUAGAGACGUGGAGGAACACCAGUGGCGAAGGCGACUCUCUGGUCUGUAACUGACGCUGAGGCGCGAAAGCGUGGGGAGCGAACAGG